rnacentral:rRNA from 1 species
UACGGGGGGGGCAAGCGUUGUUCGGAAUUACUGGGCGUAAAGGGCUUGUAGGUGGCCAACUAAGUCAGACGUGAAAUCCCUCGGCUUAACCGGGGAACUGCGUCUGAUACUGGAUGGCUCGAGUGUGGGAGAGGGAUGCGGAAUUCCAGGUGUAGCGGUGAAAUGCGUAGAUAUCUGGAGGAACACCGGUGGCGAAGGCGGCAUCCUGGACCAUAACUGACACUGAUAAGCGAAAGCCAGGGGAGCAA